rnacentral:rRNA from 1 species
UACGUAGGGGGCAAGCGUUGUCCGGAAUCAUUGGGCGUAAAGAGCGCGUAGGCGGCCCUGUAAGUCCGCUGUGAAAGUCAAGGGCUCAACCCUUGAAUGCCGGUGGAUACUGCAGGGCUAGAGUGCGGAAGAGGCGAGUGGAAUUCCUGGUGUAGCGGUGAAAUGCGCAGAUAUCAGGAGGAACACCAAUGGCGAAGGCAGCACUCUGGGACGUGACUGACGCUGAGACGCGAAAGCGUGGGGAGCAAACAGG